CCUACGGGCGGCAGCAGUGGGGGAUAUUGCACAAUGGAGGAAACCCUGAUGCAGCGACGCAGCGUGAGUGAUGAAGGAUUUCUGUAUGUAAAGCUCUAUCAGCAGGGGAGAAAAUGACAGUAUGUGACCAAGCAGCUCUGGCUAACUACGUGCAAGCAGCCGCGGUAAUACGGAGGGGGCCAGCGUUAUCCGGAUUUACUGGGUGUAAAGGGAGCGUAGACGGUUUUGUAAGUCUGGAGUGAAAGCCUGGGGCGCAACCCCGGGAUUGCUGUGGAAACUGUGUAACUUGAGUACAGGAGGGGCAGGCGGAAUUCGUGGUGUAGCGGUGAAAUGCGUAGAUAUCAGGAGGAACACCGGCGGCGAAGGCGGCCUGCUGGACUGCAACUGACGUUGAUGCUCGAAAGCGUGGGGAGCAAACAGGAUUAGAUACCCCUGUAGUC
rnacentral:rRNA from 1 species